UAGGGCAACACUGUCUCUUUUCCUUCUGUUUAUAAACAACGGGCUGUUCCCUUCUUGUCUCCUGGUGGCCUGGUUUCCAAGAAGUUGCCUUCUAGCGCUGCCCUCUCUCCAUGUCACUCGCUACGUAAGUGGUGACGUGGCCUGAAAGGAGCCUGGGAUCCUGCCAGCUCCGGCUCCCAGCCAGCGAGUGUGUGAAUGGCCUGCAGUCACUGGCGGCUUUCUGAGCACUGGAGCAGUGGGUGAGAGGCAGAACUCGUCCGUGGCAGUGCACAGCACUGAGCCGGUGACACCUCCACUGCUCUCUCAGCCGCACACUGAGGCGGUGUAGUGUCAUCUGCUGCACCAGGGUUACUCCUGCCGCUGCGGCACGUGGGUGGCAGAGUGUUUUUCAGGAAAGGAUAGAUCACGUGGUGCUAACAAGAUGCUCCUGAGACCUCUGUGUGUGUGUGUGUGUGCGCGUGUGUGCAUGUGCGCGCGCGUGCUACUUGCUUACAUGAGAUUUCCCUGAGAUCUUGGCUGAUGCAGAAUGAACCUGGAACCCCCCUGGUCACUUGGCAGAAGGGGCCCAUUGAGCACCGUGUGCUGUGCUUGGCAGGGAGUCGCCUCAUCCUGACCCAGCCUCCUCUGCGGCCAGGCGAGGACCACGGUGGAAGAUGAUGCAUCUGGAACAGCAUGAGCAUGGCGGGAACGACAGUAAUGCCCAGGAGCCCUGGGCUGUCAGCUGGGGCCGGGUGCACAGGUGCGCUCUUGGUGACAGGAUCACUGACUGCGGACCCAAGUCCUCUCUGCCGUUCACGGGGCAGUUGCAGAUUCUGGGACUGGCUGAGCACAGGCUGAGUGCAGCUUAUCCGAAACACUUGGGCGAGAGUGUCUCAGGCCUGGGACUGCUCUUCUGAACUUGGAAUAUCUGGAUGUACAAAAUGAGACGUCUUAGGGUUGGGACCCAAAUAUAAACACAAAUCCACCUAUGUUUCAUAUGCAUCUUAUAGCCUAAAGGUAACUUUAUUCAAUAUUUUAAAUAAAUUUGUGCAGGAAACAAAGAUUCGUG
rnacentral:lncRNA from 1 species